rnacentral:rRNA from 1 species
UACAGGGGGUGCAAACGUUGCUCGGAAUUAUUGGGCGUAAAGCGCGCGUAGGCGGCUACUUAAGUCGGAUGUGAAAGCCCUUGGCUCAACUGAGGAAGUGCACCCGAAACUGAGUGGCUUGAGUACUAAAGAGGUUAGUGGAAUUCCCAGUGUAGAGGUGAAAUUCGUAGAUAUUGGGAAGAACACCAGUGGCGAAGGCGGCUAACUGGUCCAGAUCUGACGCUGAGGUGCGAAAGCGUGGGGAGCAAACAGG